UCGAGAAUCAUUCGCAAUGGGCGCAAGCCUGACGAUGCGACGCCGUGUGAGCGAUGAAGGCCUUAGGGUUGUAAAGCUCUUUCGCCUGGGAACAAGAGAGGCUGGUUAAUAUCCAGCCAAUUUGAGGGUACUAGGUAAAGAAGCACCGGCUAACUCCGUGCCAGCAGCUGCGGUAAUACGGAGGGUGCAAGCAUUAAUCGGAUUUAUUGGGCGUAAAGGGCGCGUAGGCGGACCUGUAAGUCAGAUGUGAAAUCCCGGGGCUCAACCCCGGAACUGCAUUUGAAACUGCAAGUCUAAGAGGGUAGAUGGAGAAAAUGGAAUUCCACAAGUAGCGGUGAAAUGCGUAGAUAUGUGGAAGAACACCAGUGGCGAAGGCGGUUUUCUAAUUUAUACCUGACGCUAAAGCGCGAAAGCUAGGGGAUCAAACAGGAUUAGAUACCCCCGUAGUCC
rnacentral:rRNA from 1 species